rnacentral:ncRNA from 2 species
AGAGUUAAACAGUGCGUGAAAUUGUUGAAAGGGAAACGUUUGACACCAGUUUUGCGGGUGGGAAAUCAGUCAAUUGCAGUGAGGAGUGGCAGGGGUUCAGACCGCAAGGCUGACUCUUGUCUCAUUCUUGCUGUGGGUGAUGCACUUUUUCAUUUGCAGGUCAACAUCAGUUUUCUCCGCUGGACAAAACCCCAAGGGAAUGUGACAGCUUUGGCUGUGUUAUAGCCCUGGGGCGAUACAGUGGUGGGGACUGAGGCUUUCGCAGUGUGUGCUCUCGGGCAAGGCUGACUGGGUGCUAUGGAGUGGUUCAGCGUACAAUGCAUGCAUCUUGCGUUGGGUCUGCUCUGUACUCGUCCAGCUCGGCUCUUCCACGCUUAGGAUGUUGACAUAAUGGUUUUAAACGACC